rnacentral:tRNA from 1 species
GCAUUAGUGGUUCAGUGGUAAAAUUCUUGCUUUCCUUGAGGGAGACCCAGGUUUAAUUCCUGGCCAAUGUA